rnacentral:rRNA from 1 species
UACAGAGGGUGCAAGCGUUGUUCGGAAUUACUGGGCGUAAAGCGCGUGUAGGUGGCGAUGUAAGUCGGGUGUGAAAUCCCUUGGCUUAACCAAGGAAGUGCAUUCGAUACUGUGUCGCUUGAGUGUUGGAGGGGGUGGCGGAAUUCCCGGUGUAGAGGUGAAAUUCGUAGAUAUCGGGAGGAACACCUGUGGCGAAGGCGGCCACCUGGACAACUACUGACACUGAGACGCGAAAGCGUGGGUAGCAAACAGG